ACUGCAAGAACAGCUCUGUGUCUUCAGGCUAUUCAGUGUGGGAGAAUGGGAAAUGUGGGUACCCGGUGUCCAAGUAGGUUACACGUAACUGUGUGCGUGGAAAACAUUUCAUCACAGGGUCCAGCUUUUCUGGUUAGGUUAACAGAUAAGGAAAAACUCUGGGCCCCAUUGGGUAAAAAUUGCCCACCCGCUCUGGGACCUACGGCGCCACCAGUCUGCCUGCAGUUGUCUGUUAUCAUCAGGUAUGUGGAUGAUCAGGGCUUUAUUCAGGAACGUUUCUUAGGCUACGUUGACGUGUCAAGUGGGCGAGAUGCACAGUCUGUGUUUAACUUCAUGGAGAAACUUGUUGACCAAACCUACAAUGGCGCAGCUGUAAUGGAAUAUAUCUGCUAUUUAUAUUUACAGCUAAGUCCUCUCCUGUUCCCUGAUUAAGAGGUGAUGACAACUCCACUACCAUUGUCAACUCUCUCCUGACAUGAACUGAAGCCACGUCUCAUGUGCUCGCUCAUCCACUGGCACAUUGAAUGUUUCCUCUCCAAGCACUGUGAGUAGCCCUAUCCAUUUUCUCUCAUUACUGUAUGUAGUCAAUCACAUACACAAUCACAUUAUUACCUAUCAAAUAUUUUACUCCUUGCUUGGACUAACUCAUUCUUAGCUAUUUUGUCUACUGUGUAGUGUGUUGUCUUAUUGUUUUUGUCUUCCCAGUUAAAUCCUGUCCUGUACUGAAGUCAAGCCUCUUCAGUGCACCUCAACUCAUGCCUCAUACCUCACUGCUGUGAUCCCUUCUCAUUCCCAUUCCCCAUAAUAUUGUACAAUACAUGUCUUUAGUAAAUGAUUUAGGUGAAAAUAAUUUAUCUUUGAUUAUUUUUUAAAUACACUUAGACGUCUCCUUGCGCCUAUACCAUUGGUCUCCCAUCCUCCUCAAUUGUUAAAGUCACCAGCCUCCACUGCUCUCCACUGUGGUACUGUCUUAAUGCUAGACACAGUGCCAUAGUAAUUAGAUUGUAACCAGUGUCUAAGGGCUCUAUUCAAUUCACAUCGCGGAAGUUCAGCUUUAGUGUGAUUGAAAUUUAAAGGCAACGUUCCUACUUUAGCAGAGACUGCAUUCACGGUAAACGCUGCAUAUCAGCUCAAUCAGAAAUUACCUUGAAAUUUGUAUCUCGGAAUCUGUAACGCUUCAGCUUUCCCGAUUGAAUUGAGCCCUAAAGCUCUUUUUCAGAACUCCAUCAAACCAGAGCAGGACAUCAGUUACUGUCGGUCAUGGUGCACGGACCAUGCAAUGACGCACGUUACUUCUGCUAUAAAGUGCUUCACCCAAGGGGAAAAUCAAUGACGAGCUUAUCCCAAAUGGGACCAGUCAGUUUGAUAUGGCACUCACACACUGUGUUUUAAUGCACCACAUUUGUAAACCAUUCAGUGUGCUUGUUGACUAAACAAGGAUGAACAGGCCGUAAACAGAUAGUGAACGCCAGUGGACAUGAAAUGAUAAAGCACCGCGCUUUCAGGAUGGAGCGGUAAGAGGGACAGAGAUGACAGAUAAAGGGUCCUCAAUAUCGGUCAAUCCCUCAUCCCUGCAUGACUAUUGAGAGGGAGUGUGAUCAUGGCAACUUCCCUACAAACAUGCCCACAUUGGCACCAUGAGGGCCCAAUGCUGGUUAAAAUAUUGACCCCAUGU
rnacentral:lncRNA from 13 species